UACCAGCACCCCGAGUGGUCGGGACGUUUAUUGGGCCUAAAGCAUCCGUAGCCGGUUCUACAAGUCUUCCGUUAAAUCCAGCUGCUUAACAGAUGGGCUGCGGAAGAUACUAUGGAGCUAGGAGGCGGGAGAGGCAAGCGGUACUCGAUGGGUAGGGGUAAAAUCCGUUGAUCCAUUGAAGACCACCAGUGGCGAAGGCGGCUUGCCAGAACGCGCUCGACGGUGAGGGAUGAAAGCUGGGGAGCAAACCGGA
rnacentral:rRNA from 1 species